AUCUUUCUGGUUCAUGCAAGUGAUGAUUGGUGUGUUCACGGUUACUACGUGAGAGGUACUGGCCUGAUCUUGUUACGCAUUGUGCCUUAAACCAUCUGACC